ACUAUUUCCAAAUCUUCACUAUUAUAAUUUGUGCUGUGAUAAGCAUCUUGGUAACUGCUAGGAGCCACUGCAAAGUAUUACAUUCAUAUGGAAAUUGGGCUCCUACUGUUCACUUAGGCCCAUUUGGGGACUCAAGUUACAAGACUCCUGGAGAGUUCCCAUUGGUUGGGGAAGGAUGGUAGGAGGGUGUUCCGGGGGAAGUGGGGCCCCCCGUGUCCGGUAGGGACACGUGUGUGUGUGUGUGUGUGUGUGGACCGGCUUGUUAGGGGGACGCACACGGCCUCUCACAAAAUAAAACUUUGUUUCAGUUCCAUCUGGCUUGUGUUUUUGUGCCCAGCCGGAUUGCAGCAUCGCAAGCCGGCGUGCACUGACAGCGACCCGCGAAAGCGCCCAGCAGGAAGGCAGCAGGUGAAAACAGCAGCGGGCAGAAGCGGAGCCAAGGCUCACGCGGCCCCCGCCGUCCAGCCUGCAGCAGCUCCAGUGUUACAGCUCAGGGCCACGAGAAGCCACUCUGCUUCCCUGCUGCUCUCCCACCAGCUCCAUUCCUCAUGGCCUGAGCUUGAGGUCUUCUGCUGCCCGGUUUCCUCAUCUGUAGGAUGGAGAUAAUAAUCUCUACUGUGCGGGGCUGUUGCAAAGAUAAAAAAAAUAUAUAUUACCAAUAAAAAUGGUGCACAUCUGUAAUCCCAGCAGCUCGGGAGGCUGAGAGAGGAGGAUGGUGAGUUCAAAGCCAGCCUCAGCAAUGAGAGGCGCUAAGCAACUCAGUGAGACCCUGUCUCUAAAUAAAAUACAAAAUAGGGCUGGGGAUGU
rnacentral:lncRNA from 1 species